rnacentral:rRNA from 1 species
AGUGAACGCUGGCGGUAGGCCUAACACAUGCAAGUCGAACGGCAGCACAGUAAGAGCUUGCUCUUACGGGUGGCGAGUGGCGGACGGGUGAGGAAUACAUCUGACUCUACUUUUUCGUGGGGGAUAACGUAGGGAAACUUACGCUAAUACCGCAUACGACCUACGGGUGAAAUCAGGGGAUCUUCGGACCUUGCGCGAUUGAAUGAGCCGAUGUCGGAUUAGCUAGUUGGCGGGGUAAAGGCCCACCAAGGCGACGAUCCGUAGCUGGUCUGAGAGGAUGAUCAGCAACACUGGAACUGAGACACGGUCCAGACUCCUACGGGAGGCAGCAGUGGGGAAUAUUGGACAAUGGGCGCAAGCCUGAUCCAGCCAUACCGCGUGGGUGAAGAAGGCCUUCGGGUUGUAAAGCCCUUUUGUUGGGAAAGAAAAGCAGCAGGUUAAUACCCCGCUGUUCUGACGGUACCCAAAGAAUAAGCACCGGCUAACUUCGUG